ACCAACUCUUUUUUCACUAUUGCACGUACAGUUGUGAUAAGGUUACCCGGAGUGCUAAGAGAAUAACUUUGGAGCUGUUAUAGGUGUGUAAAUAACCCUCCGAGAAAGGGGAGGGCAAGGCUGGUGCCAGCCGCCGCGGUAAAACCAGCUCUUCAAGUGGUCGGGAAUUUUAUUGGGCUUAAAGUGUCCGUAGCCGGUUUGAACAGUUCCUGGUUAAAUCUGGUAGCUUAACUAUCAGUCAGCUAGGAAUACUAUCUUACUAGAGGGGGGGAAAGGCUUGGGGUACUCCGGGGGUAGCGGUGAAAUGCGAUAAUCCUCGGGGGACCACCAGUGGGGAAGGCGCCAAGCUGGAACACGCCUGACGGUGAGGGACGAAAGCCAGGGGAGCGAACGGGAUUAGAUACCCCGGUAGUCCUGGGGGUAAACAAUGCGUGCUAGGUGUUGGAAGGGCUUUGAGCCGUUCCAGUGCCGUGGGGAAACUGUUAAGCGCCCCGCCUGGGAAGUACCCCCGCAAGAGUGAAACUUAAAGGAAUGGGGGGGGGAAAGGGCAAAUUCUUUUAAACCGGCGGGACUAGUCCUUUUAGUGAGGGUAAAUUCUGAGCUUGGGGUAAUCUUGGCAUAGCUUUUCCCGGA
rnacentral:rRNA from 1 species